rnacentral:rRNA from 1 species
UACGGAGGGUGCGAGCGUUGUCCGGAAUCAUUGGGCGUAAAGGGUGCGUAGGUGGCGCCGUAAGUCGGGUGUGAAAUUUCGGAGCUUAACUCCGAAACUGCAUUCGAUACUGCGGUGCUUGAGGACUGGAGAGGAGACUGGAAUUCAUGGUGUAGCAGUGAAAUGCGUAGAGAUCAUGAGGAAGACCAGUGGCGAAGGCGGGUCUCUGGACAGUUCCUGACACUGAGGCACGAAGGCCAGGGGAGCAAACGGG